rnacentral:rRNA from 1 species
CCUACGGGAGGCAGCAGUGGGGAAUAUUGCACAAUGGGGGAAACCCUGAUGCAGCAACGCCGCGUGAAGGAAGACGGUUUUCGGAUUGUAAACUUCUGUUCUUAGUGACGAAUAAUGACGGUAGCGAAGGAGCAAGCCACUGCUAACUACGUGCCAGCAGCCGCGGUCAUACGUAGGUGGCAAGCGUUGUCCGGAAUUACUGGGUGUAAAGGGAGCGCAGGCGGGAAGACAAGUCAGCUGUGAAAACUACGGGGUUAACUUGUAGACUGCAGUUGAAACUGGUUUUCUUGAGUGAAGUAGAGGUAGGCGGAAUUCGGAGUGUAGCGGUGAAAUGCGUAGAUAGUCGGAGGAACACCGGUGGCGAAGGCGGCCAACUGGGCUUUAACUGACGCUGAGGCUCGAAAGUGUGGGGAGCAAACAGGAUUAGAUACCCGUGUAGUC